rnacentral:lncRNA from 1 species
UUUAUUGUUAUAAUUUUAUUCUUUCGGUGGUUAUUCAAAUUUAUAUUUUAAUUUUGUGAUGUGAAGCGCGGGGGGAUUAAUCUGAACUUUGGUCUCGGCUUCCUCGGGAGCUGCGCUGCUCUGACAUUUUCUGCGCUCGCGAAGCGAAGCGUGAUCUGUCACUUGCCAGGGCUGCUCCACACAGAGAGCUCAUUCUUCGCCGCUCUGCGUGUCUUUUAAGGGCCGUGAUCAUUGGCCUUAGUAAAUAACGUCGCCGACGGGGGCAGGAUCAGCUGUUCGCCUCCCCGGGCGCCAGCGUUUUCUCUUCCUUUGAUUUCCGAGGGCGUUCUCAGCAAAACUUUGGGAGAGCGCUGGCGGCGCGGCGGCCGCGGGAUGCGGGGCUGCUGAACUGCGCCAGCACCGAAACUUUUCUGCUCGCUCGCAGAAGUUUGCAGCGCUGUUAUUGCGGCAGAAACGAGACAACAUCUACCGUGGAGCAAAGAUUACAAUUUCCAGAAGUCAGAAUUUAUUACAGUUAAACUGUGAUAAGAUCCCAUCUGUUAUGAACACAUGUAGCGCCAAUUGUUUUUCAUACAACUGCAAUUUAUUUACCCUUCAGACUGAAUGAGAUUACAAGAGUGAUUUAAAAAAAAAAAAAUCACCAACGCCACAUUCUCCCCCCUCACCCCCCCCCUUUUAGUCCGGCCUAUCUGCUUCCAUCUCGCUAAAUCCAUUUACGCCGCAAUACUUCCCUUCGGAUGAGCCCCGCGUUCCCUGCCGCCCCCGCUCGCGCAAUCUCGCUCGGGCCGGGCCGCCUCCGCCCGGUGCCGCUCUGCCCGGGCUGCGGGGCUCGGCCUGGCCGGGGGAGGGGGGGCCGCGCCCGGCGCCCUGCGCGGAGACGAGCGGUGCGGGCGCGCUCCUCCGCAGCGCCCCGCGGGGGCGGGCCCGGCAGCGCCGCCUGGCGGGCGGGACCCCACGGCCGCCCCGCUGCCGGCACGGCCCCGCCGGGCCGCAGACAAAGGGAGCCGCCUCCUGCCCGCCGCCGCACCGGGGGGCUCGGGGGCCCGCGCCUCGGGGGAGCGGCCGCUGGGCGAAGCGAGAGCCCGAAGGCACGGAGGGGGAGGGCGGCGCGUUCGCGUUCCCGUUUGGUCGCAGUAGUUGGGGAACAGGCGGUGCGGCUGCCCGUCCUCCUGCCCCUUCCCGCAGAGGUGGUGAGGGCCGAGGAGCGUGCGCCUCGCGGAGAAGAGAGGGAAAUGUGGGGCUGUUGCUUAAACAUCAAUCGUUGUUGGACGUUCUCGCCGCGAUGGCUUAAGAACAGCGAUCUAAUUUUGUUCUUUCGAACUGUUCUGAGGCAUAUAUAUAUAUGCGUGUGUAUGUAUGCGUAUAUAUAUCCUCCAGGUUUCAGUAGGCGUCCUUCUGCUGCUCUGUUAUCAUUACUGCUUGCCUUGAUGUGACGUUGAAGACAGAUGACAGCAUUGUCAGGUUGUCUUUAAUUCAUCUGAAGACUUAAAAAAAAAAAAAUUAAUAAAACACACACGAGGCUUCUUGCGGUAUCCAAAGCCUGAACGGCUUCACUUUGUUCCACGCAGGGGACGGACGGGGUGGCUGAGAGGGGAGAGUGGAUGGAUUUCAGACGUGAGGGCAGGAGGGACCCCGCGCAGCGCUGAGCGGGCGCUCCCCGGCCCGCGGCCGGAGGGGUCCGUACCGCAGCACCUGGCGGCCCCGGCUGGGAGCGCCGGCACCGGGACGGCCUCUCCGCGUUUGUGCACAACCCGAGUGCGCAACGCGCUCAAAUUUCAGCCCCGUCUCUGCUGCUUAAACACCUCCGGAGAGCUUGACGAUCAUUUGUACUGCGGUACGAACUGAAGAAAGAAAUUGAAAAUAACCGGUGCUGCCUUCCCCGCGUCUCUUCCUAAAGAAAGAACGCCGCCUGUUAAUUGAAGCUCGCAUCGAAAAGAAAACGGUUUUCACAGUAAAAUGCUCUUUUGAGAGGGAAAAAAAAAGUUCAUUUUCCUCGGGAAGGGGCAGAGAUGUGAGCGAGCCUCAGCCUGCCCGCUCCGUGCCACCGACCCUACUGAAGGGGGGAAAAAAGGUGUAAAAAAAGAAUAAUAAAAAUAACCUUUCCGUCUUUUUUUUUUUUUUUUUCGGAGAGCCCCCGGGGUUGCAAUAAAAAAACCCUUAUUUUUCUCUCUUUCUGCUUUUUUUUUUUUUUUUUUUUUUUUACAGUUUUUAAUUAAAAUUGAAUAAACGCUGAAGGAGAAAGCAGCGACCGCCUCCAUCCGAGUCCUACUCGGGUUUGUAACAGAAUCCAAGCGUGUGAAAAAUAAAAUAAAAUAAAAUAAAAGUAAAACCUUUUAAUACAUCAAAUAUACGGAAUUUUAAUCUUUAAAGCGAUACAUUGUCUAUUUUAGUACAUGACGUAAACCUUACUUAACCCUCGUUACAGGGUGGACUUAAAAAUUAAAAAUAGUUAAGUGUUCCUUUUAAAGAACAAAAUAAGGCAAAUGAGGUUUUUGGAAUAGAAUUGUUUUUGUUUUUUCUUCCAGAAUACAUACAAAAAAAUACCAAUUCUCUUUCAAGGGUUUACACCUUAAAAAUAAUUGCAAUUUGAAAUUAUAACUGACAAAUUGCGAGUUGUUUUUUUUUUUUUAGUAACAAACAUGCAUGUAAAUUUUUGUUGUUGUUUCAAUGAGACAUUAAAUAAGAACGUACGAUACAAUCAUAGCAAUUUUAAAGUAACAUUAAAGAGAAGACCUCUAUCUUUUUAUUUAUAUUCUACAAUGGGUGUUCCACUUUUACCUAUUGAGCUCAGUUAAGUAAUGCACUUUAUGAUUCGUUGUCCCGCUUGAAGCUAACAUAAAUAAAUACAGUGCUCACGGAUCCAGUCCUCAGAUGAACACUAUCGUAUAAAAAGUCCCAUUUCUGUUUUGUGGGGGUUUUUUUGUUUGUUUGUUUGUUUUUUUCCUUGCCGACUUCCACCGAGUUCGGAG